rnacentral:rRNA from 1 species
CCUACGGGUGGCAGCAGUGAGGAAUAUUGGUCAAUGGACGGAAGUCUGAACCAGCCAUGCCGCGUGAAGGAUGACGGCCCUAUGAGUUGUAAACUGCUUUUGUAUGGGAAUAAAAUUUUUCACGUGUAGGGUUUUGUAUGUAUCGUAUGAAUAAGGAUCGGCUAACUCCGUGCCAGCAGCCGCGGUAAUACGGAGGAUUCGAGCGUUAUCCGGAUUUAUUGGGUUUAAAGGGUGCGUAGACUGUUGGUUAAGUUAGUUGUGAAAGUUUGGGGCUUAACCGCAAGAUUGCAAUUGAUACUGGUCGACUAGAGAGCAGAUGAGGCAGGCGGAAUGCGUGGUGUAGCGGUGAAAUGCUUAGAUAUUACGCAGAACACCGAUUGCGAAGGCAGCUUACUAAACCGCAACUGACAUUGAUGCACGAAAGUGUGGGUAGCAAACAGGAUUAGAUACCCCAGUAGUC